rnacentral:rRNA from 1 species
GAUGAACGCUGGCGGCGUGCCUAACACAUGCAAGUCGAACGAAGCACAUACGACGGAACUCUUCGGAGGGAAGAUGUAUGUGACUGAGUGGCGGACGGGUGAGUAACGCGUGGGUAACCUGCCCUAUACAGGGGGACAACAGUUGGAAACGACUGCUAAUACCGCAUAAGCGCACAGUACCGCAUGGUACAGAGCGAAAAAACUCCGGUGGUAUAGGAUGGGCCCGCGUCUGAUUAGCUUGUUGGUGAGGUAACGGCCCACCAAGGCGACGAUCAGUAGCCGGCCUGAGAGGGUGAACGGCCACAUUGGGACUGAGACACGGCCCAAACUCCUACGGGAGGCAGCAGUGGGGAAUAUUGCACAAUGGGGGAAACCCUGAUGCAGCAACGCCGCGUGAGUGAAGAAGUAUUCGGUAUGUAAAGCUCUAUCAGCAGGGAAGAAAUGACGGUACCUGACUAAGAAGCCCCGGCUAACUACGUG